GAAAGUUUUGUUUCUUUAAUGCUGCUGCAAAGUUGGUGUUUUGUGUACACUUUGACAUUUCUCCUCUGUCCUUCUCCAGAAGGAGGGACAACCUCUUUGGACCGAUGGUUCAGUACAUAACCUGACAAACAAUGUGAUGUCAUUGCUGCCAGCCAAUCAGACAGACUGUUUUGCCCUGCAGAGGAAUGCCACAGGGCCUGGAUAUUUUCUUACCCCUUUCUUCUGCAACAUUGCCUUACCCUUCAUCUGCCAGUAUCAGGGUAAAUUUUAACUUUUAAUUAUCAUUAAUUAGUGUGUGCCUUUUAAAAUGUGUGUUUCACAAUCCUAUUACCAUCUGUGAUUUUGUCAAGCACAGGCAAAUGUGUUGAAAUCCUUUUUCUUAUGUUCUCACAAUGGUUUUCUUCCUUCACAGUCCCCCUUCUCCCUCCCUCAUUCUCUUUUGACCUGGUUCAGGUCGCGGAACAACAGGUAGAGCUUUGUUGGAGCGACCUCUUGGCCUUGAUCUCCCUCAAUAUUUCAUCUUUUGAAGUAUUCCUCCAGUAUCGGGAGGAGACAAAUGGCGAACUCUUUCGCGGUGAACGCAUAGAGGGGAGAUUAGCUUAUCGAACAGAAAGCCGGAGCGUUGCCAAGAAAGUUGUUGAGGUUCCCAUUUCGCUGUCCUCCAGAGGGGUAACUGUGGCAGGUUUGUCUCCAGGAAGCGUUUACUCCUUCACCCUUCGAGCUGCUCAUUCUGACGGGUCGAGCUGGACUUUGGGACAAACACAGACUGCAUACACCAGUUUGUCUACUCUCUAUCUCUUUAAAUUCUAUACACACACAUACACACACAGAGGCUGCCAACACAAUCAAAAUGUCUGCAUUCUUUUUUACAGGACCUCCUUCUCCUCAAAAUAUCACUGUCAGUGCUGUAACUACUGAUCAGAUCCAAGUCCACUGGACACUUCCAGUCGCUCUUUUUGAUGUUGGAUGGACAUUUCUUGUACGCUAUAUGGACAUGUCCAAUGACCAAAACAGGACUGUUGGAAUGUCUAAAAUCUCCAGGAUAUCUGAGACCAAUCCGCUGCGCUCAUACACUGCUGCGAUUGGCGGGCUGGAGUCUCACAGGAAGUACAGGAUUGAGGUCUCCACAGUCACCAAACAUGGGAUAGAGAGCUGUGAGCAGGCGGCUGUGGUUGUGCAGACUGAGUUGAGGGCUCCUGGUGGUCUGGUGGGUUUGAGCACAAGGGGAAAUCUAACCUUCUGUUGGACCACUCCACUCGACGACCCACCUGAUGGUUAUGAUAUCACAUCGCGCCCACCAAUUUACUCUGCCCCGACUACUCUGCGGAUAAAUCAAUCCAGUCCCAGGAUACACUGGGUAAACGAGUCCACGUGUGUUGAUCUUGGCAGAUUUACACCAGGACAGACUUAUGAACUCGGCGUAAUCUUACUGAAGGGAAAUGACAGGAGCAAACCCACCAGUAUCACCCACACCACAGAUCCGCUGCCCAUUCAAGUAGCCGUACCUCUGUCGGUGGGGACAAAUUCUGCACAGCUGCACGUCCAGCGUCCCCAGCUCAGUGUGAUUGAUGGGGUCAAAGUCUGCAUGUGUCCCGUAGCGUGCGAUAAGGUGUGCAAGGGAUCAUGUGGCUACCUGUGUGACUGGUACCCCCUUCCCGCUGGUGUCCAUGUCUUAACCCUCCAAAAUCUCAGUCCGGGGUCAGAAUACCAGCUUGGGGUGUACAGCACCAGCCACCAGCAGACUGGUCCACCAUACUACACCACGCGCAUUAAAACAGGUGACUGCACAUACAAUGGAUGUAAAAGUGCACAAAACACAUAUUUGCAGUGA
ensembl:lncRNA